rnacentral:rRNA from 1 species
AACGCAACUUGCGCCCUUUGGCAUUCCGAGGGGGCACACCUGUUUGAGUAUCAUGGAAUUCUCAAUCCUCUAAAUUCUGUAUGAGUUUAGUUGACUUGGAUGUGGAGGUUGUGUCGGUGGCUUUUUGUUAGUCGACUCCUCUGAAAUGUAUUAGCGGGAACGUCUUGCGGACCGUCACUUGGUGUGAUAAUUAUCUACGCCUCAUGACCGAUGCUCUUGUUCUGCUUCUAACCGUCCAUUACUUGGACAGCUUCUUUUGACAAUUUGACCUCAAAUCAGGUAGGACUACCCGCUGAACUUAA